rnacentral:rRNA from 1 species
AAAUAAUAUAAUUUAAUUUCAUUAGUAUAAAUUAAUUUGUAAUGAUUAAUUUUAAGUUAAAAUUUAUUAGGUGAAAUUUAUAAAUUUUAAAAAAAUUUUUUUUAAUGAAGUUAAAAAAUUUAAUUAAUAAACUAGGAUUAGAUACCCUAUUAUUUUAAAUGUAUUUUUAUAUACUAAAUUAGUAUUAGUUAUGUUCUUGAAAAUUAAAGAUUUUGGCGGUAUUUUAGUCUAUUCAGAGGAACCUGUUCUAUAAUUGAUAAUCCACGAUUUAAUUUACUUUUUUUAUUAGUUUGUAUAUCGUCGUAAUUUGAAUAUUUUAUAAGAAUAAUAAUAUUCAAGAUUUUUAAUAAUAAAAAAAAAUAAAUCAGAUCAAGGUGCAGUUUAUAAAAAAGAAGAAAUGGGUUACAAUAAAAUUAUUUAAGGAUUAUUAUUUAUAAAAUAAUAUGAAUUUGGAUUUGAUAGUAAAUUUAAUUAAUUAAUUAAAUUGAUUUUAGCUCUAAAU